GUGCCCAUUUUGGCAGCACACAUACUAAAAUUGGAAAGAUACAGAGAAGAUUAGCAUGCCCCUGUGCAAGGAUGACAAGCAAAAGUGAGAAAUUAUUUAAAAAAAU
ensembl:snRNA U6 U6 spliceosomal RNA